CAGUCGCCACGGUAAUACAGAGGGUGCGAGCGUUAAUCGGAUUUACUGGGCGUAAAGCGUGCGUAGGCGGCUUCUUAAGUCGGAUGUGAAAUCCCUGAGCUUAACUUAGGAAUUGCAUUCGAUACUGGGAAGCUAGAGUAUGGGAGAGGAUGGUAGAAUUCCAGGUGUAGCGGUGAAAUGCAUAGAGAUCUGGAGGAAUACCGAUGGCGAAGGCAGCCAUCUGGCCUAAUACUGACGCUGAGGUACGAAAGCAUGGGGAGCAAACAGGAUUAGAUACCCCGGUAGUCCCUGUCUCUUAUAC
rnacentral:rRNA from 1 species